CAUAGGUUAAUGAGGCGAACCGGGGGAACUGAAACAUCUAAGUACCCCGAGGAAAAGAAAUCAACCGAGAUUCCCCCAGUAGCGGCGAGCGAACGGGGAGGAGCCCAGAGCCUGAAUCAGUGUGUGUGUUAGUGGAAGCGUCUGGAAAGGCGCGCGAUACAGGGUGACAGCCCCGUACACAAAAAUGCACAUAUUGUGAGCUCGAUGAGUAGGGCGGGACACGUGGUAUCCUGUCUGAAUAUGGGGGGACCAUCCUCCAAGGCUAAAUACUCCUGACUGACCGAUAGUGAACCAGUACCGUGAGGGAAAGGCGAAAAGAACCCCGGCGAGGGGAGUGAAAAAGAACCUGAAACCGUGUACGUACAAGCAGUGGGAGCCUCUUUAUGGGGUGACUGCGUACCUUUUGUAUAAUGGGUCAGCGACUUAUAUUCUGUAGCAAGGUUAACCGAAUAGGGGAGCCGAAGGGAAACCGAGUCUUAACUGGGCGUUAAGUUGCAGGGUAUAGACCCGAAACCCGGUGAUCUAGCCAUGGGCAGGUUGAAGGUUGGGUAACACUAACUGGAGGACCGAACCGACUAAUGUUGAAAAAUUAGCGGAUGACUUGUGGCUGGGGGUGAAAGGCCAAUCAAACCGGGAGAUAGCUGGUUCUCCCCGAAAGCUAUUUAGGUAGCGCCUCGUGAAUUCAUCUCCGGGGGUAGAGCACUGUUUCGGCAAGGGGGUCAUCCCGACUUACCAACCCGAUGCAAACUGCGAAUACCGGAGAAUGUUAUCACGGGAGACACACGGCGGGUGCUAACGUCCGUCGUGAAGAGGGAAACAACCCAGACCGCCAGCUAAGGUCCCAAAGUCAUGGUUAAGUGGGAAACGAUGUGGGAAGGCCCAGACAGCCAGGAUGUUGGCUUAGAAGCAGCCAUCAUUUAAAGAAAGCGUAAUAGCUCACUGGUCGAGUCGGCCUGCGCGGAAGAUGUAACGGGGCUAAACCAUGCACCGAAGCUGCGGCAGCGACACUAUGUGUUGUUGGGUAGGGGAGCGUUCUGUAAGCCUGUGAAGGUGGCCUGUGAGGGUUGCUGGAGGUAUCAGAAGUGCGAAUGCUGACAUAAGUAACGAUAAAGCGGGUGAAAAGCCCGCUCGCCGGAAGACCAAGGGUUCCUGUCCAACGUUAAUCGGGGCAGGGUGAGUCGACCCCUAAGGCGAGGCCGAAA
rnacentral:rRNA from 1 species